rnacentral:rRNA from 1 species
UACGUAGGGUGCAAGCGUUGUCCGGAAUUAUUGGGCGUAAAGAGCUCGUAGGCGGUUUGUCGCGUUGUCCGUGAAAACUCACAGCUCAACUGUGGGCGUGCGGGCGAUACGGGCAGACUGGAGUACUGCAGGGGAGACUGGAAUUCCUGGUGUAGCGGUGGAAUGCGCAGAUAUCAGGAGGAACACCGGUGGCGAAGGCGGGUCUCUGGGCAGUAACUGACGCUGAGGAGCGAAAGCGUGGGGAGCGAACAGG